CUACGGGCGGCUGCAGUGGGGAAUAUUGGACAAUGGGCGAAAGCCUGAUCCAGCCAUGCCGCGUGUGUGAAGAAGGCCUUCGGGUUGUAAAGCACUUUCAGUGGGGAAGAAAGCCUUGGGGCUAAUACCCUCGAGGAAGGACAUCACCCACAGAAGAAGCACCGGCUAACUCCGUGCCAGCAGCCGCGGUAACACGGAGGGUGCGAGCGUUAAUCGGAAUUACUGGGCGUAAAGCGCGCGUAGGCGGUCUGAUAAGCCGGUUGUGAAAGCCCCGGGCUCAACCUGGGAACGGCAUCCGGAACUGUCAGGCUAGAGUGCAGGAGAGGAGGGUAGAAUUCCCGGUGUAGCGGUGAAAUGCGUAGAGAUCGGGAGGAAUACCAGUGGCGAAGGCGGUCUUCUGGACUGACACUGACGCUGAGGUGCGAAAGCGUGGGUAGCAAACAGGAUUAGAUACCCGAGUAGUC
rnacentral:rRNA from 1 species